CAAGUACGCACACCUGGGGAUGCUCCCAGGCAGUGGAUUAACUACCUCAUACCAGACUCUCAAGAGACUGACCUGAGAAAUAAAGACCCCUCCUCCCUAAGGCUGCAGAGACUGUAAGUGGCUUUGGGAAUGGGGGGGGUUGCACAUUCAAGGAACUGAUAUCAAGUGCUGAUGCCACGUCCACAGAGCCCAUCUGAAUCAGUCAAAAACACUGAUAUCUGGAGUGAGGUUGUGACUCCAACCCAUCUUGGCCAAUCAUCUCCAGUGAGAGAAGAAAACCUGGACAAGGCUUGUGCCUGUUGAUCUCCCAGCCCACGAGCACCUAGGAGGUGGCCCCUGAAGCCCCAGGUCUGCCUGUUUCAGGUUCUAGUUUCCAGGGAAGUAGACUUUAUACCAGAGAACACAGUGCACUUUCUACUAACCUGGAGGAUAGCAGUGCCACCUGGUCACCUUAAGCUCCUCAUGCCAGUGGAUCAAUAGACAAAGAAGGAUAUUAAUGUACUGCUCCGUUGGCUUCCACCUGAAUCCUGGCCACAGGCUCUGCUGUUAGAAGGCCUAAAACAGGAGAACGUUUCCUGAGGUUUAUCUCCCUGCCUGCAUCCCAUGCUGUGGUCUCUUCAGGAAAUUGAGUCUGACUGUUCCAGCAUCUCUGAAGGAGCAAAGAAAUAGAAGUCCUAGUGGGCAGGAGCCGACCAGCUCUAUUCCAGGAGGAGGAGAAAGUGGGUGGACACAGAGGAGGGAGGACAGGGCUAGCAAAGCUAAAGGGCCUGUAUCGCCUGGUCCCUGAAGUCUCUUCAUUCCCAGCUGGCUCCAAGCCUUGAGUCUCUUUGCUACUUCCUGGCCUUUGCACUCAACUUUCCCUUGUCUGGAACACCAUCCCCGUCCUGCUUCACCUCCCCCAUCUUUCUGAACUGCAGCAGCGCUUUGUAGAGAAGCCUUCCCAGACCUGAGGCUGAGUCAGGUGCCUCUGUUACAUGUUCCUAUUUGAGGGCUCUUUGCUAAAUGCCCCCCUUCCCUAGCAGGUCAUGCUUCCCAGAGCCUGUUGGGAAAGCCAAUAUGUCUCCAAACCUUUGAGCACAGUUGGCCCAGAAGGGAUGCUCAAUAAAA